CGGAGAGUAAUACUUUAUACGUCCUUCGGGAGAAAGCUUUAUGCGCUAUUGGAUGGGCCCGCGUUAGAUUAGUUUGUUGGUGAGGUAACGGCUCACCAAGGCGACGAUCUAUAGCUGGUCUGAGAGGAUGAUCAGCCACACUGGGACUGAGACACGGCCCAGACUCCUACGGGAGGCAGCAGUGGGGAAUAUUGGACAAUGGGGGCAACCCUGAUCCAGCGAUGCCGCGUGAGUGAUGAAGGCCCUAGGGUUGUAAAACUCUUUCGUCAGGGAAGAUAAUGACGGUACCUGAAGAAGAAGAUCCGGCUAACUUCGUGCCAGCAGCCGCGGUAAUACGAAGGGACCUAGCGUAGUUCGGAAUUACUGGGCUUAAAGAGUUCGUAGGUGGUUAAAAAAGUUGGUGGUGAAAUCCCAGAGCUUAACUCUGGAACUGCCAUCAAAACUUUUUAGCUAGAGUAUGAUAGAGGAAAGCAGAAUUUCUAGUGUAGAGGUGAAAUUCGUAGAUAUUAGAAAGAACACCAAAUGCGAAGGCAACUUACUGGGUCACUACUGACACUGAGGAGCGAAAGCAUGGGUAGCGAAGAGGAUUAGAUACCCUCGUAGUCCAUGCCGUAAACGAUGUGUGCUAGACGUUGGA
rnacentral:rRNA from 1 species